UACGUGGGGUGCGAGCGUUGUUCGGAAUUACUGGGUGUAAAGCGCGUGUAGGCGGCCUAUUAUGUCAGGUGUGAAAGCCCUCGGCCUAACCGAGGAAGUGCGCCUGAAACUGCUAGGCUUGAGUACGAGAGAGGAGGACGGAAUUCCCAGUGUAGAGGUGAAAUUCGUAGAGAUUGGGAGGAACACCGGCGGCGAAAGCGGUUCUCUGGAUCGAUACUGACGAUAAGACGCGAAAGAGUGGGGAGCAAACAGG
rnacentral:rRNA from 1 species